UACGUAGGGUGCAAGCGUUAAUCGGAAUUACUGGGCGUAAAGCGUGCGCAGGCGGCUAUGCAAGACAGAUGUGAAAUCCCCGGGCUCAACCUGGGAACUGCAUUUGUGACUGCAUGGCUAGAGUGCGGCAGAGGGGGAUGGAAUUCCGCGUGUAGCAGUGAAAUGCGUAGAUAUGCGGAGGAACACCGAUGGCGAAGGCAAUCCCCUGAGCCUGCACUGACGCUCAUGCACGAAAGCGUGGGGAGCAAACAGG
rnacentral:rRNA from 1 species